UACAAUUACAACUACAAUGAAAACAACAAAAAAUAAAAGACACAAAUACACACUCAAGACAAUCACUCAGAUACAUCAAAACCAAGAACAUCAAACUUGCAACACACAG